CGGGGUGUGGCGCAAUCCGGUUAGCGCGCUUCCUUGGGGUGGAAGAGGUUGGAGGUCCAAAUCCUCUCACCCCGA
rnacentral:tRNA from 1 species